rnacentral:rRNA from 1 species
CAGUAGCCGCGGGAAUACGGAGGGUGCAAGCGUUAAUCGGAAUUACUGGGCGUAAAGCGCACGCAGGCGGUCUGACAAGUCAGAUGUGAAAUCCCCGGGCUUAACCUGGGAACUGCAUUUGAAACUGUCAGGCUGGAGUCUUGUAGAGGGGGGUGGAAUUCCAGGUGUAGCGGUGAAAUGCGUAGAGAUCUGGAGGAAUACCGGUGGCGAAGGCGGCCCCCUGGACAAAGACUGACGCUCAGGUGCGAAAGCGUGGGGAGCAAACAGGAUUAGAUACCCCUGUAGUCCCUGUCUCUUAUAA